GGACCAGCAGCCUCAGGCAGGGCCUGGCAUAGAGAAGGCAGUCAGCAAAUGUUUGUUGAAAAGGUUUGACGGGUCGGCCCGUCCCCACCCCUCCCACUGGUCUCACUGUCCUAUUUGUCACCCCCCAACAGCUCUCCCGACAGCCCCUGUCCAUGGACUCUGCUUGGAGUAGACAGGGGAUCCGCAGAGACGGCCAUCGGGCUGGCUGACUUGACCAAGCUCCUUGAAAGGCCUGUCAGCACUUGCUGUCUUCCUUCCUCACCUCCAAUUCCCUCUUCAACCUACCGCCUCCUGACUCCCUCUGCUCCGUGGAAGGGCUCCCGCUCAGGUCUCCUGCCUUCUGGAAGCUGCCUCUCGCCAGGCUGCCUUGAGCAUCUAGGAGUCGCUGACCUGGGGCUAAUCUUGUGCCUCGUUGGAGGAUGAGGCCGAGACGCUAAUGAGGCAGCUGCUGGAUUCCAAUAUUCCGGCCCUAAGGAGCCUUCUUUGUCUGCGAAGGAAAAACACCCUGAUUAUAAUGAGCCCACCUCUGGGGUUGCCUGUCCGCCUGCUGCGUCUAGUCCUGCCUCCGGGCCUGGGUACCCACCCCAGCCCAAGGAGCCACUCCUGCUGCCGACGUGCUUCGUUGCUUCCUCGCACCUUCUGUCCCUGCACAUCCCACACGAGCCAGCCCACCCCACUGAGGAGCAAGCGGCAGGAGGAUCUCCCCCUCGGGACCUGGACUGUGACCUGGCUAGGUUGGCUGAAGGACCACGGGAGAGACGCGGCGGGGGAUCCCCCCACAAGGCUCAUCACCCCGGACUCCACCCUUCUCCUAACAUGCCUCUUCUCUCCUUCCUGGAUUGGGAGCCACCACCUGGAAUCCUACAUCGAAGGGACCUUGGACGUGGAACCCAGCCCCCUCCAGCUCUAAAUCCCUCCACAGCCACGGGGACGUCCUGCACAUGUUCCCACGGGACGGGCUGGACCCCAAGACUCUGGAUCCCGGGCCUCCCCUAGACCCGCCCUC